UUAACUUCCAUUGUCAAAAGGGAAACAACCCAGACCACCAGCUAAGGUCCCUAAUCAUAACUAAGUGGGAAAGGAGGUGGAGAUUCAUAAACAACCAGGAGGUUGGCUUAGAAGCAGCCAUACCUUUAAAGAGUGCGUAAUAGCUCACUGGUCGAGAGUCUCUGCGCCGACAAUGUAACGGGGCUAAGUUAUGAACCGAAGCUGUGGAAUUGCGCAAGCAAUUGGUAGGAGAGCGUUCUGUAGGCCGUUGAAGGAGAAGCGUAAGCAACUCUGGAGGUAUCAGAAGUGAGAAUGCAGGAAUAAGUAGCGAGAAGGGAGGCGAGAAUCCUCCCCGCCGGAAGACCAAGGUUUUCAGGGUAAAGCUUGUCUUCCCUGAGUAAGCCGGGACCUAAGCCGAGGCUAUAGUGCGUAGGCGAAUGGAAAACAGAUUAAUAUUUCUGUGCCAGUCAUAUUUUGUGAUGGAGGGACGCAGAAGGGUAUGUACGCGGAAGAACGGUAGUUUCCGUAAAAGCAUGUAGAAUGACUUGAUAGGUAAAUCCGUCAAGUUAGAUUUGAGGUGUGAUAUAUAGUCGUAAGAUGAAUGUACAAAUCCCACGCUGCCGAGAAAAGCUUCUAACGUUAAGGUAUGACUGCCCGUACCCGAAACCGACACAGGUGGUCAGGAUGAGAAAUCUAAGGCGGACAGGCUAACUCUCGUUAAGGAACUCUGCAAAAUUGCCCCGUAACUUCGGGAGAAGGGGUGCCCCUGAGUGUGAGCAUACACGCGAUGUUAAGCGCUUGGGGGUCGCAGUGAAGAGGCUCAAGCAACUGUUUAACAAAAACACAGGUCUAUGCUAAGCUGUAAGGCGAUGUAUAUGGGCUGACACCUGCCCAGUGCCGGAAGGUUAAGAGGAGGAGUGAGAGCUCCGAAUUGAAGCCCCGGUGAACGGCGGCCGUAACUAUAACGGUCCUAAGGUAGCGAAAUUCCUUGUCGGGUAAGUUCCGACCUGCACGAAUGGUGUAAUGAUUUGAGCGCUGUCUUGACGGGAGGCCUGGUGAAAUUGUAUUACCGGUGAAGAUACCGGUUACCUACAGUAGGACGGAAAGACCCCAUGGAGCUUUACUGUAGCUUGGUAUUGGGUUUUGGCAUUGCAUGUAUAGGAUAGUUGGGAAACUAUGAUGGUAUGGCGCUAGCUAUAUCGGAGUUGUCGGUGGAAUACCAACCAUUCAAUGUUGAAAUUCUAAUCUGUGGUUUGGAGCCACGGAGACAGUGCUAGGUGGGCAGUUUGACUGGGGCGGUCGCCUCCGAAAGAGUAACGGAGGCGUUCAAAGGUUCUCUCAGGUUGGAUGGAAAUCAACCGCAGAGUGCAAUGGCAUAAGAGAGCUUGACUGCGAGACUGACGGGUCGAGCAGGUGCGAAAGCAGGACAUAGUGAUCCGGCGAUUCCGAAUGGAAGGAUCGUCGCUCAACGGAUAAAAGCUACCCUGGGGAUAACAGGCUGAUCCUACCCGAGAGUCCAUAUCGACGGUAGGGUUUGGCACCUCGAUGUCGGCUCAUCGCAUCCUGGGGCUGGAGAAGGUCCCAAGGGUUGGGCUGUUCGCCCAUUAAAGCGGUACGUGAGCUGGGUUCAGAACGUCGUGAGACAGUUCGGUCCCUAUCCACUGUAGGCGUUAGAAUAUUGAGAAGAUCUGUCCUUAGUACGAGAGGACCGGGAUGGACAAACCUCUGAUGUACCAGUUGUCACGCCAGUGGCACAGCUGGGUAGUCACGUUUGGAA
rnacentral:rRNA from 1 species